UUUCAAUAGUUAGAUGGGGGGGAUACAGGGAUGGCUUCUCUGAGAAGCAGCCAGAAGCUUCUUCCAUGUCCAGCAGAGCCAAUCCCUG